ACUGAAAAGAUGGGGGCCACAGAAGAAGCGUUCAUGUCACGGCCCCUGUCAGAUUCCAACAAACCUGCAAAUCCUGCU
rnacentral:ribozyme from 1 species